GGACAAGCACACACUCUUGAAUACACUGACAUACACACAUAUACACACUCACUGAUAUGACACAUUCUGACCGACACAUACAAUCACUCAGACACACACUGACAGGCGCAUACACGCACUGACAGAUACACACAAGCACUGACAGACGCACACACGAACUGACAGACACACACACACAAUUAUUUAGACACACUUUCACUGACAGAUACACACACACUCUCUCACUGAUAGACAGACACAC